rnacentral:rRNA from 1 species
GCCGCAGGGAAACCGAGUCUUAAUUGGGCGUUAAGUUGCAGGGUAUAGACCCGAAACCCGGUGAUCUAGCCAUGGGCAGGUUGAAGGUUGGGUAACACUAACUGGAGGACCGAACCGACUAAUGUUGAAAAAUUAGCGGAUGACCUGUGGCUGGGGGUGAAAGGCCAAUCAAACCGGGAGAUAGCUGGUUCUCCCCGAAAGCUAUUUAGGUAGCGCCUCGUGAAUUCAUCUCCGGGGGUAGAGCACUGUUUCGGCUAGGGGGCCAUCCCGGCUUACCAACCCGAUGCAAACUGCGAAUACCGGAGAAUGUUAUCACGGGAGACACACGGCGGGUGCUAACGUCCGUCGUGAAGAGGGAAACAACCCAGACCGCCAGCUAAGGUCCCAAAGUCAUGGUUAAGUGGGAAACGAUGUGGGAAGGCCCAGACAGCCAGGAUGUUGGCUUAGAAGCAGCCAUCAUUUAAAGAAAGCGUAAUAGCUCACUGGUCGAGUCGGCCUGCGCGGAAGAUGUAACGGGGCUAAACCAUGCACCGAAGCUGC